CCUACGGGAGGCAGCAGUAGGGAAUAUUGCUCAAUAGGGGAAACCCUGAAGCAGCAAAGCCGCGUGGAGGAUGAAGGUUUUCGGAGUGUAAACUCCUUUUGUUAGAGAAGAUAAUGACGGUAUCUAACGAAUAAGCACCGGCUAACUCCGUGCCAGCAGCCGCGGUAAUACGGAGGGUGCAAGCGUUACUCGGAAUCAUUGGGCGUAAAGAGCGCGUAGGCGGGAUAGCAAGUCAGAUGUGAAAUCCUAUGGCUUAACCAUAGAACUGCAUUUGAAACUGUUGUUCUAGAGUAUGGGAGAGGUAGGUGGAAUGCGUGGUGUAGGGGUGAAAUGCGUAGAGAUCAAGAGGAAUACUCAUUGCGAAGGCGGCCUGCUAGAACAUAACUGACGCUGAUGCGCGAAAGCGUGGGUAGCAAACAGGAUUAGAUACCCUUGUAGUC
rnacentral:rRNA from 1 species